rnacentral:rRNA from 1 species
AAAUUGAAGAGUUUGAUCAUGGCUCAGAUUGAACGCUGGCGGCAGGCCUAACACAUGCAAGUCGAACGGUAACAGGAAGCAGCUUGCUGCUUCGCUGACGAGUGGCGGACGGGUGAGUAAUGUCUGGGAAACUGCCUGAUGGAGGGGGAUAACUACUGGAAACGGUGGCUAAUACCGCAUAACGUCGCAAGACCAAAGAGGGGGACCUUCGGGCCUCUUGCCAUCAGAUGUGCCCAGAUGGGAUUAGCUUGUUGGUGAGGUAACGGCUCACCAAGGCGACGAUCCCUAGCUGGUCUGAGAGGAUGACCAGCCACACUGGAACUGAGACACGGUCCAGACUCCUACGGGAGGCAGCAGUGGGGAAUAUUGCACAAUGGGCGCAAGCCUGAUGCAGCCAUGCCGCGUGUAUGAAGAAGGCCUUCGGGUUGUAAAGUACUUUCAGCGGGGAGGAAGGUGUUGUGGUUAAUAACCGCAGCAAUUGACGUUACCCGCAGA